AGUAAGUUACGUUGCAAUAAAAUUAUUUUUGAAGAUGCCUUGAAAAUCUGGGUCUAUUUAAUUUUUAUAUAUUUGAAAAAUGUAUACACUUAAAUGAAUUGACGACUUAUAUGGAUUAUAAAACGUGUUUUAAUUUUUCAUUUCUACCCCACACGCACCUCCAGCUCAUCUCUUGAUACUUUUAAAUAAAAAUUACUCGUUAUAUUUCAAUAGACAAAUAUCGGCAACUAACACUUAUUGUACUCGUACACUGAUUGACAUCUAUCGGAGCGUACAGCGGUGUAAGUGCGGUGUAGUGUAGAAAAUAUUUAUCUGGUUCUAAUGAAGAAAUUAAAGGAAAGUACUGUUAAGAAACAAAUUCAUGGAGUUUGUGAAUGACAUAGUAAUCAUGAUAAUAGUGAGUUGAUGUUUUUUGGUGGUGUAAAUGAAUUGCAUAAAGCAAUAUCAUAGAAUUCUUAACUGAAGCAUAGAAAAAGUGUACUCGAUUUUUAAUUACACUACAUAAUGUGAAACAGGCUUUAAUAUGUCAUCUGUCAUUCAUUCAAAUGAUUCAUUAACUUUUGUUUAUAUGAAUUAUCUUAUUAAAUACUAAUAUUACCUAAAAUUUGUUUAAUUUCAACCUGCAAGGUAUAUUUUAUUUCAGUAAUAGUACAUAAAAAUACAUCCCUGGUAGGUGAAACCUGGUAAAAUUCGGAAAAAGAAAUUGUAGUGCCUUGGUACGUGAUUCCAAAGGUUUGCACUUCUCCAAAGAUAGGAUUUGUGAAUAAGUUCCGAGUGUCUUCAGGUGAACUCGAUAUUCAUGAACCAUUUGCAAGAUUUUCGAGUAAAUCUUGCUAAAACUGUUGGAAGAACAUUUGUUGUGUUAGUAUCCUUUCUUCAAUGCUCUAAACAGUCCAAGUAAACUCCGGAUAGUCUACAAGUCGAACAGCUGAGCUACAAGUGUGAGAGUAAUACUCCAAACAUAAACGAAUCUGGACCUUCUAGAGAAUUAGAAGCUAUUGCUGAGUAUAGUUUUGAGGUCUUAAACAUGAUUUCAAGUUUUUGUGAAACUAUUUUUGCUAAAUCACCCAUGAGACUAUUUCAGGACGCGAUUUUAUAUAUAAGAACUAAAUUUCUGAAUUGAAAAAAUUGGUAGUACUCAAUUUGACGUUACCAAAGGCCUAUCAGUUGUUUUGGAUAGAACCUUUUUAUGUUAUUAGACAAGCUGUGACACUAAAGUGUUCAAACAGAGCUCGGGUAAGUGCUGAGCAUUCACAGGUGACUUUUUCUUGUACCAGCGGCACUCUAAAUCGUUUAUGUCUUACUUCAGCCUAGAAGUCUAGUCACUAGACGGUUUUCGUGCUUGUUGUCUGUGAUGUUUAGAUUUUUCAUUCAACGAUCAAUUUUUUUCAAUAUUAAUUCGAUUCGAUUUCAAGUAAAGCCUCCUGCAGAUAUGUAAUGGGGUUGUUGCCAGACUUCUUCAAUUAGCUGUGGGGUUUGGGUUUUUUACAUUUUUACUAAAACAAACUCAUUGUAUGUGAUAUUUCAACCAAAUCGAUUCGAAAAGAUAAAUUUUAUGUAUUGAAUAAGAAAAUUCGUGGAAAAACGUUUUUGUUGUACAAUUUUUGUUAGGUUAGUGUGCACUCUUCAAAAACAUGCGAAACGAAAACGAAAAAGGCGAUUAGUAAAAUAAAAAAAACAACAACAUUGAAUUAAAAUUUUUUUUAUAUAACUAAAUAAAAUACAUAGUAAAUAUUAGAAUAUAAACAGGCUUUUAGGCUAGACUUCAUAAUUUAAUUAAUAAUUAUUUGAAAGAAAAAACUCGUACGAAAAGAACAAACUUGUGAAUAAAGGAACCAAAUCAAUAACUGUCACCGAAACCCUUUUUUUUCUAGAGCGAAUUUUUUUACUUAAAUUAAACAAUAAUAAAAAUAAAUUAAUAGAAAUCGAACGUCGUGGAUGGGUCCUUUAUGAACAAGGAAUAUUAAAUAUACGAAUUUUUUUUUUGUUAAGAAAAAA